GACGUAGGGCGCGAGCGUUGUCCGGAUUUAUUGGGCGUAAAGAGCUCGUAGGCGGUUUGUCGCGUCUGCCGUGAAAGUCCGGGGCUCAACUCCGGAUCUGCGGUGGGUACGGGCAGACUAGAGUGAUGUAGGGGAGACUGGAAUUCCUGGUGUAGCGGUGAAAAUGCGCAGAUAUCAGGAGGAACACCGGUGGCGAAGGCGGUUCUCUGGGCCUUACCUGACGCUGAGGAGCGAAAGCAUGGGAGCAAACAGG
rnacentral:rRNA from 1 species